UUCUAUUUGUAGUAGCUGCUGUACAAAGGUUUUGACAAGAUGAAGACUUCGUAGCGCAACAGGUCAAACUCGACAACCUAAACGUUGCCCGAUGUGGAUGACGUUUUGUUUUUGAAAACGCCUCCGCUCCCUCGACUAUUGUCUGACGGUCUAUAAACAGAAGAGGGCUUCUCCCGGACGACUUUCCACAUCAGGGGCCGUCACACACGCCCGCGACCCGCGUGAGGAGAAGCGGCUCAGAAAAUGGAUGGAUUAUUUAUUUAUUUUGGUCUUGACUGUCAACGAUGCAGGAUUCACAAAAGCCCCUUGCGUCACACACGCUUUGGGAAAGGGUCCGUCCGUCUAUGAUAGAUGGUAGACAAAAUAUGCAGAAUUUCAUGUUAACCAAUCCCGUAUUGAUGGCUAAGGCUGGACAAUCCACAGUAAGUCAGCCUGAGGAAUCGUCAGAUGUCGUUAUCCAAUUUCAUUUAACUGGUCUGAAAAUGAUAUAUUUACUACAAAUAAGGCGUCUUCGUUCAACUAUUUGUGCCAGCGACAUAUAGUGACAGGCAGGACAAUGAAAUGCUGCUCCACUAGAUGACAGAAGGUACAGACAGAAGCCUCUUUAUCCACUUAUUGUGACAUUUAUGGCUUGGCGGUGGCGGGUAUUGCACAGUGAGGCUUUUCUGAUGUACAAUACUUUAUGUAUGAAAGUAUUCAGACCCCCUUACGUUUUCCCUCUUUGUUAUAUUGCAGCCAUUUGCUAAAAUCAUUUUUUUUCCCCUCAUUAAUGUACACACAGCACUCCACCCAUAUUGACAGAAAAAACAUGUUGACAUUUUUGCUGAUUUAUUAAAAAAGAAAAACUGAAAUAUCACACAGCCGAAAGCAUUCAGACCCUUUUGCUGUGACACUCAUAUGUUGGACUCGGGUGCUGUCCAUUUCUUCUGAUGGUCCUUGAGAUGGUUCUACGCCUUCAUUGGAGUCCAGCUGUGUUGGAUUAUACUGAUGGGACUUGAGGAGGAAAGCCACACACCUGUCUAUAUAAAGACCUGACAGCUCACUUUGCAUGUCAGAGAAAAAUGAGAAUCAUGAGGUCAAAGGAACUGCCCGAAGAGCUCAGAGACAGAAUUGUGGCAAGGCACAGAUCUGGCCAAGGUUACAAAAAAAAAAAAAACAGCAAUAUAACAAAGAGUGAACAAAUGAAUGGGGUCUGAAUACUUUCCGUAGCCACUGUACCUUGGCUCAAUGGCAAACGCUGAAAUCUCAGUUGUUGGUGGAGUGAUCAACCACGUGAGGGCGCUAUUUACUCAUGUGGCUACUUGCUGCCAGCACUUGGAGUUCCUUUUCACUGGGGAACAUUUUGAAAACAUUUUUUUGUUGAAUUCGAUUUUUAUGCUGAUUAAAACUAACAUUGGCAUGCUGAUUCCAAAAUUGCAGUCAGUUCUUUUCUAGCACGUACAUUUGGUUCUCCACAGCUUACCCUGCAGAUAAGCAAACUUCCACCAAUUGGCUGCAGUAAGAUUUGCCAGCUGAUUACGAUUGGACUCACGGCAACUUGCUUGUGCAGUCACAAUUGA